rnacentral:rRNA from 1 species
CCAGACUCCUACGGGAGGCAGCAGUGGGGAAUAUUGCACAAUGGGGGGAACCCUGAUGCAGCGACGCCGCGUGGGUGAAGGAGCGUUUCGGCGCGUAAAGCCCUAUCGGCAGGGAAGAAGGAGGACGGUACCUGACUAAGAAGCCCCGGCUAACUACGUGCCAGCAGCCGCGGUAAUACGUAGGGGGCAAGCGUUAUCCGGAUUUACUGGGUGUAAAGGGAGCGUAGACGGCAUGGCAAGUCUGAUGUGAAAACCCGGGGCUCAACCCCGGGACUGCUUUUGAAACUGUACAGCUUGAUUGCAGGAGAGGCAAGUGGAAUUCCUAGUGUAGCGGUGAAAUGCGUAGAUAUUAGGAGGAACACCAGUGGCGAAGGCGGCUUGCUGGACGGUAACUGACGUUGAGGCUCGAAAGCGUGGGGAGCAAACAGGAUUAGAUACCCUGGUAAG